rnacentral:rRNA from 1 species
UGUAGUCAAGUUUCUAAGAGCAAACGGUGGAUGCCUUGGCAUCUGGAGCCGAAGAAGGACGUAGCAAUCUGCGAUAAGCCUCGGGGAGCUGAUAAGCGAGCUUUGAGCCGAGGAUUUCCGAAUGGGGAAACCCCGCUGGGCGUACUUGUACGACCUAGUGACUCCCGCCUGAAUAUAUAGGGCGGGUAGAGGGAACGUGGGGAAGUGAAACAUCUCAGUACCUACAGGAAGAGAAAACAACCGUGAUUCCGUUAGUAGUGGCGAGCGAAACCGGAAGAGGCUAAACCGAGCAUGUGUGAUAGCCGGCAGGCGUUGCAUGUUCGGGGUUGCGGGACUCACCAGCAGAUCUGCCGAUCUGCAAGGGUUACAGCGCGAUAUAGACGAAUGGUCUUGAAAGGCCAGUCACAGAGGGUGCCAACCCCGUAGUCGAAAUGUCGUAAUGGCCCGGAGAGUAUCCCAAGUAGCACGGGGCCCGAGAAAUCCCGUGUGAAUCUGUCAGGACCACCUGAUAAGCCUAAAUACUCCCAGAUGACCGAUAGCGGACAAGUACCGUGAGGGAAAGGUGAAAAGUACCCCGGGAGGGGAGUGAAAUAGUACCUGAAACCGUUUGCUUACAAACCGUCGGAGCAGCCCUAGCAGCUGUGACGGCGUGCCUUUUGAAGAAUGAGCCUGCGAGUUAGCGAUAUGUGGCGAGGUUAACCCGAGAGGGGUAGCCGUAGCGAAAGCGAGUCUGAAUAGGGCGAUUCAGUCGCAUGUCCUAGACCCGAAGCGAAGUGAUCUAUCCAUGGCCAGGUUGAAGCGACGGUAAGACGUCGUGGAGGACCGAACCCACUUAGGUUGAAAACUGAGGGGAUGAGCUGUGGAUAGGGGUGAAAGGCCAAUCAAACUUCGUGAUAGCUGGUUCUCUCCGAAAUGCAUUUAGGUGCAGCGUUGCGUGUUUCUUGCCGGAGGUAGAGCUACUGGAUGGCCGAUGGGCCCCAAAAGGUUACUGACGUCAGCCAAACUCCGAAUGCCGGUAAGUGAGAGCGCAGCAGUGAGACGGUGGGGGAUAAGCUUCAUCGUCGAGAGGGAAACAACCCAGACUACCGACUAAGGUCCCUAAGCGUGUGCUAAGUGGGAAAGGAUGUGGAGUUGCACAGACAACCAGGAGGUUGGCUUAGAAGCAGCCACCCUUGAAAGAGUGCGUAAUAGCUCAAAACCCGUCCUCCGAAAGACCAAGGGUUCCAGGGCCAGGUUAAUCCGCCCUGGGUAAGUCGGGACCUAAGGCGAGGCCGACAGGCGUAGUCGAUGGACAACGGGUUGAUAUUCCCGUACUGACGAAAAACCGCCCAAGUCAAUCCAGUAAUGCUAAGAGUCCGAAUACCGGUGACCGAUCCCUUCGGGGAGGAGCUCCGGGGCUAGCACUCGACCCUAUGCUGGUGCGGCUAGCGUAUUAACAGGUGUGACGCAGGAAGGUAGCUGAGUCGGGCGAUGGUAGUCCCGGUGUAAGGACGUAGGGCGAGAGAUAGGCAAAUCCGUCUCUCACAUAGCCUGAGAUCCGAUGCGUACCCCUCACGGGGGAAAUCAGUGAUCCUAUGCUGCCAAGAAAAGCAUCGACGCGAGGUUUUAGUCACCCGUACCCCAAACCGACUCAGGUGGUCAGGUAGAGAAUACCAAGGAGAUCGAGAGAAUCGUGGUUAAGGAACUCGGCAAAAUGCCCCCGUAACUUCGGGAGAAGGGGGGCCGGAUGUGUGAAGGGACUUGCUCCCGGAGCAUUGAAGGCCGCAGAGACCAGUGGGAAGCGACUGUUUACUAAAAACACAGGUCCGUGCUAAGUCGCAAGACGAUGUAUACGGACUGACGCCUGCCCGGUGCUGGAAGGUUAAGAGGAGCGGUUAGCGCAAGCGAAGCUGCGAAUUUAAGCCCCAGUAAACGGCGGUGGUAACUAUAACCAUCCUAAGGUAGCGAAAUUCCUUGUCGGGUAAGUUCCGACCUGCACGAAUGGCGUAACGACUUCCCAGCUGUCUCAACCGCGAACUCGGCGAAAUUGCACUACGAGUAAAGAUGCUCGUUACGCGCAGCAGGACGGAAAGACCCCGUGACCUUUACUACAGCUUGGUAUUGGUGUUCGGUGUGGCUUGUGUAGGAUAGGUGGGAGACUGUGAAGCUGGCACGCUAGUGUCGGUGGAGUCGUUGUUGAAAUACCACUCUGGUCACUCUGGAUAUCUAACUUCGGACCGUAAUCCGGUUCAGGGACAGUGCCUGGUGGGUAGUUUAACUGGGGCGGUUGCCUCCCAAAAAGUAACGGAGGCGCCCAAAGGUUCCCUCAACCUGGUUGGCAAUCAGGUGUCGAGUGUAAGUGCACAAGGGAGCUUGACUGUGAGACUGACAGGUCGAGCAGGGACGAAAGUCGGGACUAGUGAUCCGGCAGUGGCUUGUGGAAGCGCUGUCGCUCAACGGAUAAAAGGUACCUCGGGGAUAACAGGCUGAUCUUGCCCAAGAGUCCAUAUCGACGGCAUGGUUUGGCACCUCGAUGUCGGCUCGUCGCAUCCUGGGGCUGGAGUAGGUCCCA